UCCUUUCCCUUCUAAUUCGCACUUGCUUUUCCUCUUUUUGGUAAAAAUAAAAAGCAUUCCUACAUACAUUUAAUACUAUUCAUCUAUCUUCUUCACUCUCACCAAACCCUAGCCGCCUACUCCAUCUCCGUUCAAGUGUUCUCCGUCCAGUCGAGAUCUCUACCUUUGUAGUCACUCCCUCCAUUUUGUUUACUGAAAACUAAGCUCAUUUUGUUGACUGAAAACUAAGUCGUAAGGAAGCAUGUCCUCCGCUGCACACACACCGCUAGUCGUAGUUUUACUUCAUCUAAAGUCAAGUGUCUUUGGGUUGCUUGUUCCUUUAUGCAUCGCACGUCCAACCGCGCUAAUUUCCUUCAUCACCAUUCGUUCCGGUUUUGAUUCUUUGAAGGUUUUUAAGAGGACGAAACUUUGAGCUCCAAUAUUUUCUCCAACUGAUCGACUUUGAAGAUUUUGUGGAAUCUAAAAAAGUGGAAGAUAGUGAAGCUGAAUUCUUUUCAGCUUUGAAUACCUAGAUGUGCACAAUUUCAACAAUGAUGUGGUAUUUGGAUUUUAGGUGAACAAUUAUAUUUAGAACUAUUUUUAAAUUGACUAGGAGCAUUUGAGAUAUUGUUUCAUUUAUUUAUUGUCCAGAUUUUUUAA